GCAUUCACCUUUGUAGCACAAGUACUAAAAUUGGAACAAUACAACAAAAAUUAGCAUGACCCAUGCACAAGGAUGACAUACAAAUUCGUGAAGAGUUAAAAGAGAUU